rnacentral:piRNA from 1 species
UAGGAGCUUUUCUAACUAUGGAACAUUGAU